CAGAAAGUAGUUUAGUUUAGAAUUCUGGCUUUGGGAGCCAGGGGUGGGAGUUAAAAUCUCUCUUUUCUGG
rnacentral:tRNA from 1 species